AAGACUAUAGACCUGCGGAGUACCUGCGGAAGGAUCAUUAAUGAAUGGUCAUCCUUGAUCUUCUUACCCUCAAACCGCUGUGGAUGCAAGAUGUGUUUCGGCGUCGAGAGGCGCCGCCUUUAUGCUCCUUCAAGUCUGUAUUGUCUGUUAAACUAAUGUCAAAACUUUCAACAACGGAUCUCU
rnacentral:misc_RNA from 1 species